rnacentral:lncRNA from 1 species
GCUCAUAAUCACUACCGCGCUAAGAGUAAAUUAGGAUCCGACAAAGCAAAGGAUCGGUUAUAUACAGUGCAAAUCUACAUGGAAUGAUUGCGACAACCUCCUUUUUGUCAGGCUUUGACCAUAUUUUGCCACGGAAUCGAGUACAAUACACGCAAGGAAUGUCAGUUUUUUUUUUCAGCUACUUAAUUAGUAUGAUGAUUUGCAAUGCAGAGACUAGAAGAUUGACCUUUCAUUUUUUUUAAACCUACAUGACGAGCUAUUAAUUUCUUGCUUACAAAGCUAAAUUUAUUCUUUAUUCGCUCAACAUAUAGAUAACAACUGAAUUCCUAGAGGCAUUACUUUUUUGCUGUCUAGUGUUGCCGACCGUGCUAGUUUAUAUAGAGUACCUUUUUAGCACUCUAGUGUUGCCGACGGUGGUAGUUCAUACUGACGUUUGUUGUUGAUCAUUUUGCCGCUUUGGUGUGACAGUGAGUGUAUGUAUGUCUUUCCUAUUUGUAAUAAUUUAGUUCUGUGCGUCCUCGAUGAUUCGAUUAUCUCUUAACUUUGUGUUGUUACAUAAAUCGUGUAUGCUUGGUAUCAGCGUAUUUUUCUUGUAAAAAAAACACAUACGGUCUUUGCAUCAAUCAAUGCACACAUCCAUUUUAAUAUCGGCAAAUAAAUUAUGCUUUCCGUGCGACAUUUUUCCUAAGAUCUUGGUAUCCUGCUAAAUAUGCCUAGCCCCAAACCCAUGCCCAAUUGCUGCUUCAAUCGUUUUGUGAGGUGUCGUAAAAAUAUCGUGCGUGUAGCAGUGCCGAAUAAAUCAAGGCAUAAUACAAUCCAAGAGCCACAUUUGUAUUGCUA